rnacentral:rRNA from 1 species
CCUACGGGAGGCUGCAGUGGGGAAUAUUGGACAAUGGGCGAAAGCCUGAUCCAGCCAUGCCGCGUGUGUGAAGAAGGCCUUCGGGUUGUAAAGCACUUUCAGUGGGGAAGAAAGCCUUGGGGCUAAUACCCUCGAGGAAGGACAUCACCCACAGAAGAAGCACCGGCUAACUCCGUGCCAGCAGCCGCGGUAAUACGGGGGGUGCGAGCGUUAAUCGGAAUUACUGGGCGUAAAGCGCGCGUAGGCGGUCUGAUAAGCCGGUUGUGAAAGCCCCGGGCUCAACCUGGGAACGGCAUCCGGAACUGUCAGGCUAGAGUGCAGGAGAGGAAGGUAGAAUUCCCGGUGUAGCGGUGAAAUGCGUAGAGAUCGGGAGGAAUACCAGUGGCGAAGGCGGCCUUCUGGACUGACACUGACGCUGAGGUGCGAAAGCGUGGGUAGCAAACAGGAUUAGAUACCCCAUAGUC